CCUAGAACUCUUGGGUUAAAGUAUGGCUUCAUUUUUUAGAUGUUCAUCAUGGCAGCGCCAGCGAAAAGACCAAAGAGAUGGUUGUGAAAUAUGUACUCCAAAUCUGUAGAGAACAAUGUGACAACAAAAGUGAGAAAUCGGCGAAGAAAUUACUGGAGUU